CCUACGGGAGGCAGCAGUGGGGAAUUUUGGACAAUGGGCGAAAGCCUGAUCCAGCCAUGCCGCGUGAGUGAAGAAGGCCUUCGGGUUGUAAAGCUCUUUCAGUCGAGAAGAAAAGGUUGUGACUAAUAAUCGUAACUUAUGACGGUAUCGACAGAAGAAGCACCGGCUAACUACGUGCCAGCAGCCGCGGUAAU
rnacentral:rRNA from 1 species